rnacentral:ncRNA from 1 species
UAAAGGUUUUUGGCUUUAUUUUAUUAUAAAAAUUUAUUUUAUAUAUAAAUUUAAAUUUUAUAUAGAAUUAUUUUUAAAUAAAAUAAUUAUUUAAAGAUGAUAUAUGUAAGUUAUAUAUUCGUAAUAAAUAGGACUAUUUAUUGAGGAAAUUUAGAAAUGAUAAUUUUUUUUAGUACAAACAAAAUUUGUGCCAGCAGUUGCGGUUACACAGAUUGUGCAAUAAUAAAAGUUCAGAUAUUAGUAAAUUUUAUAUUUAAAUUAUAAUUAGAUUUAUUAGGUGAAAUUUUAAAUUUAUAUAUAUAUAUAUAUAUUAUGUAAUUUGAUUCUAGAAAAUUUUUUUUAUAAACUAGGAUUAGAUACCCUAUUAUAAAAAAUUUAAAUUUAUAAAUCUAGAUUAGUAUUAGUUAUGAUCUUGAAAAAUAAGAAAAUUGGCGGUAUUUUAGUCUAUUCAGAGGAACCUGUUUUGUAAUUGAUGAUCCACGAGUUAAAUUACUUAUUUUUUAAAUUUAUAUAUCGUCGUAGGUUGAAUAUUUUUAAAGGUUUAUUAAUAUUCAAAAUUUAUAAUUAAAAAAAAUCAGGUCAAGAUGUAGUUGAUAGAUAAGUAGGGAUGGGUUACAAUAAAUAAAUUUAUAUGGAAAAGUUAAUUUAAAUAAUUUUGAAAAUGGAUUUGAAAGUAAUUUUAUUUAAAUUAAUAGAAUGAUUUAAGUUCUAAAAUAUGUACAUAUCGCCCGUCACUUUCAUUAUAAAAUGAAAUAAGUCGUAACAUAGUAGAUGUACUGGAAAGUGUAUCUGGAUUAAU